rnacentral:lncRNA from 1 species
CAGACACCCCCACCCCCAUCUGGAAUGGUUGCCGAUUUGAUCUGCUGAGCCAUCUUGGUGGCAGGCUCCCAGUCUGCUCUCUGUCCCCAGGAUGAGGGCAGCUGGGUUGCAGCCCCCGGCUGCCCUGACCAUGGGGGUGGAGACAAGCUGGACUUGAGCCCGACCUUGAGAAUUGCGUCCACUUCAGGUACAUCAAAAAGCCUCGGUGCCCUGACUGCAGAAGACAGUGUGGAGGCCCUGAUCACAGCCAGCUCCUCUUCUCCUUGAAAGCCAGCCCUGCUCUUCUCGGCUAGGUCAGCUAAGC